rnacentral:tRNA from 1 species
GCCCUCUUAGCUCAGCUGGAUAGAGCAACGGACUUCUAAUCCGUAGGCCGCAGGUUUGAGUCCCGCAGGGGGCGCCA